rnacentral:rRNA from 1 species
GGACGGGUGAGUAAUGUAUAGUUAAUCUGCCCUUUAGAGGGGGAUAACAGUUAGAAAUGACUGCUAAUACCCCAUACACCUUUUGCCUUAAUGGUAAUUGGGAAAUGUUUUUUCGCUAAAGGAUGAGACUAUAUGGUAUCAGGUAGUUGGUGGGGUAAGAGCCCACCAAGCCAAUGACGCCUAGCUGGUCUGAGAGGAUGAUCAGCCACACUGGAACUGAGACACGGUCCAGACUCCUACGGGAGGCAGCAGUGGGGAAUAUUGCACAAUGGGGGAAACCCUGAUGCAGCAACGCCGCGUGGAGGAUGACACAUUUCGGUGCGUAAACUCCUUUUAUAUGGGAAGAUAAUGACGGUACCAUAUGAAUAAGCACCGGCUACUCCGUGCCAGCAGCCGCGGUAUACGGAGGGUGCAAGCGUUACUCGGAAUCACUGGGCGUAAAGCGCGCGCAGGCGGCCUGAUAAGUUGGA